AGGAGCGCCGGCGCGUCAUCAGUGUCCAGGCAGAAGGACCUGACACAGAAGUCGCACCCUGGAGUCUUCUGGAAGAAAAGCCGCUUCCGGGCAUACAGUGGCAACAACAAGCAGUUGGGGACACAGGGAGCGAAGCUGUCCUUAAGCAGAGGCGCUGGCCUGCGAGCCCCUCACAGACCCCACAGAGACCAGGCUCUGUCCACCUGCAGACCAAGCAGCUCCGGAAUCUGCUAAAAAUGACGGAGAUUCAGCAGCUACCCGGACAAUCUCCCGGGUUCCUCUGUGGUAAUCUCGAUGUCCUUGGGAGCAGAGGGUCCAGGGCAGCGUCAGUCUUCGCUGCCAGGCUCAGAGGAUCCAACAGACUUUCCUGUGGACUAGGACUUGGGGAACCGGCCUGCUCUGUCUCAGCAAACAGGACAGUCAACUCCCCAGUGUCCUGCUUGUCCACAGUUUGGACAGGGUCCUGGCGACAGGCAAGGGGAAGGAGAGUUUUUCAUCCAGUGGCCGACUGUGUCACAUUCCCAGCAAGCUCCAAGUGGAGUUCUUCCACCCCAUCAUCAGCUGUGGUGACCUUGGGGUCACUGCUAGAACCUGGGGGUCUUUGUCAUCGUCAGCCUUUUCCAUUAAACAUUUUAAAUGCCACAGUCAAUGGAUCUGGAAAGGUUUUGAGGACCUUUAUCUAGUGAAUGUGUUUAAACUAAACAGGCUUUGCUUGUUUCUAGUUACUUGUUUUAGGCUUCACUUUGAGAACAUAUACAGGAGGCUAAAUAAAGCUUAUUCCUGUAAUUAAUUACAUCAGGACUUAGCUUGACAGCACGGAGAGCUUUGCACACAUUAAAGCAUUUGAUCAUGAA